rnacentral:rRNA from 1 species
AACGAACGCUGGCGGCGUGCUUAACACAUGCAAGUCGAACGCGAACGGUUUCUUCGGAAACCUAGUAGAGUGGCGCACGGGUGAGUAACGCGUAAAUAAUCUACCCUGAUGUCUGGGAUAACCAGCCGAAAGGCUGACUAAUACCGGCUAUAUGCUACCCUGUUGGGGGUAUCAGGAAAGGUGGCCUCUUCUUGAAAGCUAUCGCAUUGGGAUGAGUUUGCGUACCAUUAGCUAGUUGGUGGGGUAAUGGCCUACCAAGGCAUCGAUGGUUAGCGGGUCUGAGAGGAUGAUCCGUCACACUGGCACUGGAACACGGGCCAGACUCCUACGGGAGGCAGCAGUGAGGAAUAUUGCGCAAUGGGGGCAACCCUGACGCAGCGACGCCGCGUGAGUGAGGAAGGCCUUCGGGUCGUAAAGCUCUGUCAGUAGGGAAGAAAUGCAUAUUGGUUAAUACCCCUUAUGUUUGACGGUACCUACAAAGGAAGCACCGGCUAACUCCGUGCCAGCAGCCGCGGUAAUACGGAGGGUGCAAGCGUUGUUCGGAAUCACUGGGCGUAAAGGGAGCGCAGGCGGUUUGUCAAGUCAGAUGUGAAAGCCCACGGCUCAACCGUGGAAGUGCAUUUGAAACUGGCAGACUUGAGUAUCAGAGGGGAAAGUGGAAUUCCCGGUGUAGAGGUGAAAUUCGUAGAUAUCGGGAGGAAUACCGGUGGCGAAGGCGACUUUCUGGCUGAAUACUGACGCUGAGGCUCGAAAGCGUGGGGAGCAAACAGGAUUAGAUACCCUGGUAGUCCACGCCGUAAACGAUGUGCACUAGAUGUAGGAGGUAUUGAUCCCUUUGUGUCGCAGUUAACGCAUUCAGUUGACCGCCUGGGGAGUACGGUCGCAAUAUUAACACUCAAAAGGAAUUGACGGGGGCCCGCACAAGCGGUGGAGUAUGUGGUUUAAUUCGAUGCAACGCGAAGAACCUUACCUGGUCUUGACAUCCCGAGAAUCUCCUGGAAACAGGAGAGUGCUUUCAUUAGAGAGAACUUGGUGACAGGUGCUGCAUGGCUGUCGUCAGCUCGUGUCGUGAGAUGUUGGGUUAAGUCCCGCAACGAGCGCAACCCUCGCCUUUAGUUGCCAUCAGGUUAUGCUGGGCACUCUAGAGGGACUGCCGGUGUUAAACCGGAGGAAGGUGGGGAUGACGUCAAGUCCUCAUGGCCUUUAUGACCAGGGCUACACACGUACUACAAUGGCAUGUACAAAGGGCAGCGAGCACGCAAGUGUCAGCGAAUCCCAUAAAGCAUGUCCCAGUCCGGAUAAGAGUCUGCAACUCGACUCUUUGAAGUUGGAAUCGCUAGUAAUCGUGGAUCAGCAUGCCACGGUGAAUACGUUCCCGGGCCUUGUACACACCGCCCGUCACACCACGGGAGUUGGUUGUUCCAGAAGCAGUUGAGCUAACCUUCGGGAGGCAGGCUGCCAAGGAAUGGCUGGUAACUGGGGUG